AGUGAACGCUGGCGGUAGGCCUAACACAUGCAAGUCGAACGGCAGCACAGUAAGAGCUUGCUCUUACGGGUGGCGAGUGGCGGACGGGUGAGGAAUACAUCGGAAUCUACUUUUUCGUGGGGGAUAACGUAGGGAAACUUACGCUAAUACCGCAUACGACCUACGGGUGAAAGCAGGGGAUCUUCGGACCUUGCGCGAUUGAAUGAGCCGAUGUCGGAUUAGCUAGUUGGCGGGGUAAAGGCCCACCAAGGCGACGAUCCGUAGCUGGUCUGAGAGGAUGAUCAGCCACACUGGAAGUGAGACACGGUACAGACUCCUACGGGAGGCAGCAGUGGGGAAUAUUGGACAAUGGGCGCAAGCCUGAUCCAGCCAUACCGCGUGGGUGAAGAAGGCCUUCGGGUUGUAAAGCCCUUUUGUUGGGAAAGAAAAGCAGUAGGUUAAUACCCCGCUGUUCUGACGGUACCCAAAGAAUAAGCACCGGCUAACUUCGUG
rnacentral:rRNA from 1 species